AAAUGCGAUAAGUAGUGUGAAUUGCAGAAUUCAGUGAAUCAUCGAAUCUUUGAACACACAUUGCGCCCCUUGGUAUUCCAUGGGGCAUGCCUGUUCGAGCGUCAUUUGUACCCUCAAGCUCUGCUUGGUGUUGGGUGUUUGUCCCGUCUCCGCGCGUGGACUCGCCCCAAAGUGAUUGGCAGCCGGCGUACUGGUCCCGGAGCGCAGCACAUGUCGCGCAAACGAGUGCCUUGGUACGGCGGCGUCCAUAAGCCCCUCUCUCACGCUCUUGACCUCGGAUCAGGUAGGGAUACCCGCUGAACUUAAGC
rnacentral:misc_RNA from 1 species